CCUGAGCACCAACUCUAUUUUCAGCCCUGAACUGGCCACUGGGCAUAUGGAGGUGAAUGGGACACUGCCAAAUAGCCAGGGAGGGACUGUGGAGGUGAGAGACAGUGAUGGAGGGGAGAAGAGGGGAGCCCGGGGACCCGAGACAAAAAAGAAGAGAAAAAAUUGCACCUAUGAAGUUGAAUAAAUGUAUGUAUAUGCAUGGAUAUGAAUGGAAUGAAAUUAAAUAAACUUUUUUAAAAAG
rnacentral:lncRNA from 10 species